rnacentral:rRNA from 1 species
UGACCUCCACUCAGUCGUGAUUACCCGCUGAAUUAAGCAUAUACCUAAGCGGAGGAAAAGAAACUAA